rnacentral:lncRNA from 1 species
GUAGCACGUCUCGCCACGCACUGCAUUGCGCGGAAGAAAUCCGUGCGAAAAUUUGAAUAUUUAGAGGAAUAAACGCGACCAUUCGCUUAUCUAGAGCUUACGUCAAGUCUGAAGGACGCCAGAGAAAAAAAAAACAAAGCAUAUUUUAUUACUUAGCGCGUUUGAGACGCUUCCAAUGAACUCAUUAAUGGUUUGUGACAGACGACAUGUGACGUCACGAAAUGUACACAAAAGUUGAGUUCGCGAGCGUAGGCUUAAUAGUUAUGAAUGCAUGAACGAUCGACAUGUGAGAGACCAGGAACCUUCCUCAUGUUCUUUCUCGAAGUCGCCGAGUACUGCGCUGAGAACGACUUGGAAAAUGCGCUAUGUGACAGGUGCCGGUGCAGCGAUGCAGUGUUUUCUUCGCUAAUGUGAGUGAUCUGCCUAUCGCCAUCUUGAGCUCUUCAAGCUUGCCGUCAAACAAAAUCGCCUUGUUUUCGGGACAACUGAAACAAACACCAUCGCCGGUCGUACUCGCAGCGUCCGGCCAACCAUGCUGCCGCAUUGGAGAAGACUCCUGCUCAGGCAAACGUGACAGGGCCGAGCCACCAUCUCUUCAUAAAGGUAGGAGCAGCAGACAAUGGAAAA